rnacentral:lncRNA from 1 species
UUUCUUCCUUCCUUCCUUCCUUCCUUCCUUCCUUCCUUCCUUCCUUCCUUCCUUUCUUUCCUUUCCUUCCUUCCUUCUUUCUUAUUUAGGAAGAGGACUUUCUUUCCUAUUCAGCAUCACAGUUCCCUGCAAUACGCUGUAAUUUCCUGCAGCUCUCUCUGGGGACUUAAAAAAGAUGCUUCAGGUGACAGCAUUACUCAUACACCUGGGAGUUCUGCUACGGAGGUAAAAGAGAAAUUGUCAUUAUCCCUGAAGCUCCUGUCGGUUUUCCUUUGAGCAAUCAGCAGGAAGAAGAGCACAAUGCUGGGAAGGCAGCACAAAAUGCCAACUCCAGUCUCUAGAAAGAGCUAGCCGGUUGGUAACAUAGCAGCUUCCAAUGGUCCCCUCUGCGCCUCAAAAAAGACAGGGUUCACUGCCUGUGGAUUUUUGUUUUUUUAAGACAGAGAGAGCACAAGUGGGGAGGGGAAAGGAGGAGCAGAGAGAGAGGCAGAGAGAAUCUUAAACAGGCUCCAUGCCUAGUGGGAGUCCAACAAGGGGCUCGAUCUCACAACCCUGAGAUCAUGACCUGAGCUGAAAUCAAGAGUUGGAUGCUUACUGACUAAGACACCCAGGCGCCCCGUCAAUGAACAUUUUAAAACUUUACUCUCUCUACACACCUGAAAAGCCAAUGGCUAAAUUCUGAUAGACCCUGAAUGUUUGACAUAGGGCUUGAGGGUGAUGAAAACAAGAUUUUAGUUCAAUGGCUCUCAAUCAGGAGCAACGUUGUAUACCUCCCUCUGGGACAUUUGCCAAUGUGUGGAGACAUUUUUGGUUGUCAUAACUGGUGAGGGGGGUGGGUGCUAAUGGUGUCUAGUGGUAGAGGUCAGGGAUGCUGUUCAACAUCCUACAAUCCUCAGGACAGCCUCCACAAAAAAAGAACUCUCCUGCCUAAAACGUCGGUCAUGCAGGGAUUGAUGAACCCUUCUAGUUAAAUGCUACACUCUGCUCUUCCUCUCAGAUCAUUUUCAUUGGGAGAAACAGUCUUCCUUCUUGGUAUUUUCUCCCCAAAAGGCAGAUUGGGGAAGGAUGCAGCAAUCAUUCUAUGAUGGUUUUCAUGUCCUUAAAAAGCACCAUAACAAACUUAAAGCCCUUUGAGAAAGAACUGGAAUGUCAUUUUCUCUAAUCUUCACUCAAUCUUUUUGUGAUUUUUCAUAAAAAUGAGGAAUAGUAAUUCUCAUCAUAAACUACUUAUAUUUUUGAUCCUUUAAUUUUUGGUUCUAUCAUUUCAUUUAAAUUAGAGACUCCUUAGCUGGACCAAAGCUUUUCUUUGGCAUGUUAAAAAAAUUCCCUCCAUAAUGACCCCAAAAUGCAAUACUGAUGCCUCCCUUGGGCCACACACUGUUACAAAGUCUCUCAUGUGGCAGGCUAUUUCCUCUUCCUCCUUUUUUCUCUGUUAGACUGUAAGCUCUAGCAGGAACCCCUGUGGGUGAGGUUGGGGGUGGGGUGGCUGGAUGGUCCCACCCUGUUGAGGAGUACCCCUUGCACUGGAAAAUGUUUUG